rnacentral:rRNA from 1 species
GACAGAGGUGCCGAGCGUUAGGCGGAAUCACUGGGCUUAAAGCGUGUAUAGGCGGAUCUGUAAGUACCUUGUGAAAUCCCACGGCUCAACCGUGGAACUGCUUGGUAUACUGCGGAUCUUGAGCCACCUAGGGGCGAGCGGAACAAGUGGUGGAGCGGUGAAAUGCGUAGAUAUCACUUGGAACGCCAAUGGUGAAAACAGCUCGCUGGGGGUGUGCUGACGCUGAGACACGAAAGCCAGGGGAGCAAACGGG